ACAACGAGCCAGAGUAUGAGCCAGACGGACUCCCAGAGGUGGUCAGAAAAGGCUUUGCUGAUAUUCCUACUGGGAAAACCAACCCCUGUGUUUUGUGCAGAACAGCACUAAACCUAAAGACCAGUGCCCGUCUUGCUGCUCAAAGCCAAAAUUUGUCACCAUAUGGCCAAUGUUUACAAAAAGGCAGGUCAGCUAAUUUUGCCAAGAUCUCUAAACCGACAGCUGGUGGCAGCAAAUCACCAAAGGUAGAUGAUACUCAGCAGUGCCAAGCAGAAACAGCUAUUGAACCCAUG